rnacentral:lncRNA from 12 species
CCGAAAGGCCAACUCUGCCUGGGCUUGCUCCCGUUUUCGUUUUUUCCUUGCCCCCCAAAAGCUUUUGUUUUCUUUUUUAAGAUUUUACUUAUUUUUUCACGAGAGACCCCGAGAGAGAGGCCGAGACCCAGGCCUAGGGAGAAGCAGGCUCCCUGCAGGGCCGGCGAGGACUCGAUCCCGGGACCCAGGGGUCACCACCUGAGCCCAAGGCAGAUGCCCAAGGGCUGAGCCCCCCAGGGCUCCCCAGAGCUGAAUUUUCCACAGACCCGGCCUGGCCGCACUUCGCUGUGCAGCGGCUCCUCCCCGGUGCAGUCCUUAGUAGGAUUCUGAUAAGUGCUUUCCCACCCCCAACUCUGCAAAGUCCUCCCCGUCUGGGUGCAGGCAACUGUUGGCUUUAGGGCCCUGGUUCCACCUCCAGGACCCCCGGAGCCGUCACCCACAUCAUACCGGGCCGGCAACAAAACCUCAGGACUCCUUGGGUGAAUGGAUGUGGGCCUGGAGGGGCGGCCCAGGGGGGCCUUCCCAGAGCCGCAGCCCUCCAGGACAGGCCUGUUCUGCCCUCCAGGGAGAGAGAGAACCGAGAGACCCCCGUGAACUCCCAAGGCGACCCGGCGAGUGGGGAAGCCAGAGCCCAGCAGGACCUGUGGUUCUCCCCUUAUCUGGGGCCUGUUCCUGCUGACACGGGUCGGGUCGCAGCCUCCUGCUUUGCACCGUCACCGAGGCUCCGGCUCCGGCUCCGGGUCUCCCUGCUCCACAGUGGGCCUGUGCGCUCAGCUCGCCAGUGUUUCUGUGAGCAUUUCUGAGCCUCCUUCCUGGGACUUCCCAGCCCCGGAAUAAUUUCUCAUAUCUGUCCCAAGUCCCAGUCUCAACGACAGGACUCGCUGACUUCACGGUGGGAUUUGGGGAUUUUGUAGGAAGCCGUGUCCACUCACUCACUCACUCACUCAUUUGUUCACUUUUAAUUUCUCAGUCCCUCACUCAUCCGUGCACUUCUCCAGCCUUUCACUUACGUUUUGGUCCCAUUUCCAGGCAUUUGUUGAUUGAGCCAAAGAGGACUGACUACGUGUGACAUAAGUUGGAUCGAGUCACUGUGGAAGCGUAAGGACUCCUGCAUGCACGGAGCUGUUUGAGUUAGUGAAAAUGGCUGGAGGGAGCUCGUGCAGUGGCCUAAAAUCCCUGUAACGUUGCAUUUUCCAGAAAAGUGUUCAUCCAGGGUUGUUUGAAGGUCUAGGGCUAUAUUUAGUGAGCAAGUCAGCUCAGUUAAAAAUUAGUUUUGGGAGUGAAAGAAAGACCUGAGUUCAGACGUCAGCUUUGCCACUUACCAGUGAUAGGACUCUGGGCUAGGUACUUAAACUGCUCUGAGCCUCACUGUCUUCAUUUUUAUUUUAUUAUUUUAUUUUAUUUUAUUAUUUUAUUUUAUUUUAUUUUAUUUAUUUAUUUUAAUUCUUUUAAUUAAUUUAGCUGUCUUUAUUUUUAUUAUUUUUUUCAUUUUCAGUGAAUUUACUUAUUUAUUUUUUUAUUGUUCAAUUUGCCAACAUAUAGCAUAACACCCAGUGCUCAUCCCAUCAAGUGCCCCCCUCAGUGCCUGUUACCCAGUCACCCCCACUCCCCGCCCUCCUCCCCUUCCACCACCCCUUCCUUGUUUGUUUCCCAGAGUUAGGAGUCUCUUAUGUUCUGCGUCCCUCUCUGAUAUUUCCCACUCAUUUUCUCUCCUUUCCCCUUUAUUCCCUUUCACUAUUUUUUAUAUUCCCCAAAUGAAUGAGACCAUAUAAUGUUUGUCCUUCUCCUAUUGACUUACCUCAC